GAAUUCAGGUGCAUCUGACUAACGGGUCAAAAAAUAAGAAGAACGCGUGCCCUGUAUUCAACUCAUA
rnacentral:tRNA from 1 species